rnacentral:rRNA from 1 species
UACGGGGGGAGUAAGCGUUGUUCGGAUUUACUGGGCGUAAAGGGCGCGAGUAGGCGGCCACUGCAAGUCGGUUGUGAAAUCUCCGGGCUUAACCCGGAAAGGUCAAUCGACUACUGCAGGGCUAGAGUGCGGAAGGGGCAACUGGAAUUCUCGGUGUAGCGGUGAAAUGCGUAGAUAUCGAGAGGAACACCUGCGGCGAAGGCGGGUUGCUGGGCUGUAACUGACGCUGAGGCACGAAAGUGUGGGGAUCAAACAGG